AUCCAGUGCAUUGGCGGCACCAUGGGACCAGAAGGCGGUGACUCCCCCGGACCCAGCUUUCACUAUCUUGUGUGUGUCUAUUAUUUCUCGACCUGCCGAUCUGCCUGGGAACAAAGAGAGAGCCCCGUUGCACUGUGGGCUGCUGGCCAGAUCCCACAAUAGUGAUGAUGAACCAUUAUGCAACAGAACCCCAAUACAGACUCCGACUAAGGCUUCUCUUUUAUUCUUGCCUUCUGUCUCUGGACCAUCUUGUGUCCCUGUGAAGCACGGGAUGUACCCUUCCUUUGUGAAAUGAAGACACAGCAACAAGGUACCAUCUAGGAAGCAGAAAGCAUCCCUCACAAGGCACUGAACCUGCUGACUCCUUGGUUUUGGACUUCCAAGCCUCUAGAACCACGAAGAAGAAAUUUGGUGAAUGUACAUAUGCAGCAGUUAAACAAGUCUGAAGAAAAUAUUUCAAGAUUCUAGUCCAGGUGACAUUUGUCGAUGGCCUGCUAGCCUUUCAUCAUACGUAGCAGUGGAGCCUCUUCGUGAUGUGGAUCACAGAUGAGGAGAACUAAGACAGUGCACUAUGUGCAAGAAUUCAGACCACAGGAAAUCAUGCCAUCUGGAACUGCUAAAUGGCCAGCAGAAACUUCACAGAGAAGCAAGAUUCAGUGAUAUGCUUUGGAUCACCAUGUAAAAUAAGUCCGAUGCCACCAAAAAGCAAGAGAGAAAUGGAACACUAAGCUGGAAUUUUCACAGGAAAUUAUAAUUAUAAUCUUAAAAAACCACUGAGUACUUUUCCUUGUUCUACUGAAAUAUAUUAACUCUAAAUAAACAAACCAAACCGAA